UUCACGCGGAAUCAGAACACACGGAAAGUGAAAAAUAAAAAAAUUCGCUUGAAAUUACGUGAUCGCUGCCCUUGUAUCAGUAAUUAACAUAGGUUGUGUGUGUUUAGUUUUACCCCGUACCAAUUUUUUUAAUUGGCAUUGUAAACAUUUGUACAUAUUGUUUUACGAAGGCAAAUCAAUAAGUAUCCGUGUUUCAAGACAGGUGACGUUGCUGAUGCAAGUUGGCAUUACCAUCAUGUACUAUCUUUCAAAUGACGCCAUACAAAAUUUCAGAGUGAUUCAUGCAAUAGUCUUGAUUUGACAGCAAUUCGUAGUGAGUGUGUUUCACGUUUUCCGAUACAAUGGAAAAAGAGCAAUAUCGAUCCGUGAUUCGUUUCUUAUUUUUUGAUGGAAAAACGUGCGAAGAAAUAAAAAAACGAAAUUGGAUGCCAUCUAUAGCUGGAAUGUCCAGGCCACUCGGCAGACGUGAUUACUAAGGAAAUCGUUGAAAAAGUCCACGACAUGAUUCUCGCUGAUCGCCGAACGAAAGUGCAUGAAGUAGCAGAGAUUAUAGGCAUGUCAUACGGCAUUCAAUAUUUUGCAUGAUAACUUGAGAAUGAAAAAGCUGUCGGCCGCGAUUGCUCACAAUGCACCGGCUCACUCCUCCGCAGUCGUUACAACCAAAUUGGUCGAAUUGCUGCCGCAUCCACCGUACUCUCCGGAUUUAGCCCCCUGUGACUUCUUCUUGUUUCUAAAUUUGAAAAAAUAGCUCGGUGGAAAGAUACAUGUCGAAUGAGGAGGUCAUUGCCGAAACAGAGGCCUAUUUUGCAGAAUUUGACAAAUCGUAUUUUUCUGAGGGGUUAAAAAAAUGGCAGAAGCGUUGGGAAAAGUGUAUCCUCCUAAAAGGAGUUGACAUUGAAAAAUAAAAAAAAUUUUUGUGAAAA